rnacentral:lncRNA from 1 species
CGUGCGCCGAGGCGCCCUUGCGUCACAAGCCCUCUUAUUUAUAGCAAGAGUGACGUGAACGCCCAGGCGGCCAAUCGCAGUCGGGCCUCAAUCCUAGCGCCGACGAGCGGGGGCGGAGGCCCGCCUCGCCGACGUCACAGCGCGGCGGCGGCCGCCGGUGUGAACCGGUUGAUGAAUGGCGACCGGCUGCAAUCAGAGCGCCUACCAGGCGGGGGUGGGAAGGGUCAUUGGAGGGUCUGCAGGGGAAGCCCCGUACGGGGAUGAGAGGCUGCUCUACGUAACUAAACCCCUGACGAGUGCACUCUCAUCUCAGGAGGAGGCCCGAAGUUGGCCUCAACUAGAAUGCAGUGCACUUCGGACUGGAGCGUAGUCUCAAUCCCAGGCCUACUUCUUUUGCCGGGUGGAUGGUCCCUAUCUCCAUUGGCUGUGGACCAGGAAUCACAUGGUCCAGUUCCUGCUGUCAGCAGAAAUCCGUGGCCUGACCGUGACACUUGUGCUUAGAGUCUUAGCACAUGGUCUGGCGCUGCUGCUGGGAAUCCUGAGUCACUCUUCUCCUGUGAUUCCUAAUGUUGAAGGGAGUCUCUGCAGAGGAGGAAGGACAGUCUGUCAGGUGAGCUCAUCACCGUAUCAUCACCGUCUGCUUCCUGACUUCCCCGGAGACUGUGUAAUGUGUGUGAAAGGGGCACUUGUCAACUUCCAGGAAUAGCACUGUCUCAUUCUGUGACCUUGGACAAGGUCACUCAAAUUCUCAGAGCCUUGGUUUCUGUAGUUAAAAUGGAAAAUGGUUCCACAGAGUCAGCACCAAUAUUUAGACAAUUAAUGUAUGGAAAGUCUUACCCAGAUCCAGACAAAUGAAAAAAAUAUUUUUAUAACACUGUAGACAUAAGGCAUAUGGAUAUUAUUUGUAUCCUCUACAUUUGCAAAAUAACUUGAGAUAUUUACAAUAUAAUAGAGGAAUGACAAAAAAAAAGUAGAUGACCAUUCAUAGGUCAUUUAUUCACUCAACAAACAGGCAUUGGUUACUAUUUCAGGCAAGGUCUGUGAGGCACUGGGGGACUUGAUUUUUAAAGCAUUUAUAAUCUAGGAGGAAGUUUGGAUACAUACAAACAAUUCACAAGGUAAUAUUUACUGUGUAUAAACUAUGUACAUGAAGUAACUGCUAUGGCAGUUUAAACCAGAAUAAUCCCGAGGAAGGCUUAACAUAAAAUGAAGUUAAUGGCAGCCAGUUCCAACAUGUGUUGUGUUCCCAUUAUGUGCACUGCUCUAGGUAUGUGUAUAUUCAGUGAAGACUCUCAGCAGAGAAAAUUGUGUGGGCUGGACCAGGGAGGCAAGAAUCUACACAUAAUGUGUGUCAGGGAAGCACCAGCUCAGGAUGGAGCAGUCCCUUAAGAAAGAUGUUGAGGAAGUUCCCUGGUGGUGCAAUGGGUUAGGGAUCUGAAGUCACUACAGAGGCUAAGGUCGCUCCUGUGAUGAGGGUUUGAUUCCAGGCCUGGGAACUUCCAAAUGCUACAGGCACGGCCAGACAUACACAGAAAAGAUGGUUGAAAUGAAUUUGAAGAAUUGUGUAGGUGUAACAUGAUGAAUGGCUUCAAAUAAAAGGUCAAGGUUUGGUCUUUGUCGUUGCCUU